UACGUAGGGGGCAAGCGUUGUCCGGAAUCAUUGGGCGUAAAGCGCGUGUAGGCGGCCCGAUAAGUCCGCUGUGAAAGUCCAGGGCUCAACCCUGGAAUGCCGGUGGAUACUGUCGGGCUCGAGUCCGGAAGAGGCGAGUGGAAUUCCUGGUGUAGCGGUGAAAUGCGCAGAUAUCAGGAAGAACACCUAUGGCGAAGGCAGCUCUCUGGGACGGUACUGACGCUGAGACGCGAAAGCGUGGGGAGCGAACAGG
rnacentral:rRNA from 1 species